rnacentral:rRNA from 1 species
UACGGGGGGAGCAAGCGUUGUUCGGAUUUACUGGGCGUAAAGGGCGCGUAGGCGGUAGCACAAGUCAGUUGUGAAAUCUCCGGGCUUAACUCGGAAAGGUCAACUGAUACUGUGCGACUAGAGUGCAGAAGGGGCAACUGGAAUUCUCGGUGUAGCGGUGAAAUGCGUAGAUAUCGGGAGGAAUACCAGUGGCGAAGGCGGCUUCUUGGCCUGUUCUUGACGCUGAGGCGCGAAAGCUGGGGGAGCAAACGGG